rnacentral:rRNA from 1 species
ACUCCUACGGGAGGCAUCAGUGAGGAAUAUUGGUCAAUGGGCGAGAGCCUGAACCAGCCAAGUCGCGUGAAGGAAGAAGGAUCUAUGGUUCGUAAACUUCUUUUGCAGGGGAAUAAAGUGCAGGACGUGUCCUGUUUUGUAUGUACCCUGAGAAUAAGGAUCGGCUAACUCCGUGCCAGCAGCCGCGGUAAUAC